rnacentral:rRNA from 1 species
UACGAAGGGGGCUAGCGUUGCUCGGAAUUACUGGGCGUAAAGCGCACGUAGGCGGCUUUCUAAGUCGGGGGUGAAAUCCUGGAGCUCAACUCCAGAACUGCCUUCGAUACUGGAGAGCUCGAGUCCGGGAGAGGUGAGUGGAACUGCGAGUGUAGAGGUGAAAUUCGUAGAUAUUCGCAAGAACACCAGUGGCGAAGGCGGCUCACUGGCCCGGUACUGACGCUGAGGUGCGAAAGCGUGGGGAGCAAACAGGAUUGAGAUACCCCGAG